UGACCGAUAGUGAACCAGUACCGUGAGGGAAAGGCGAAAAGAACCCCGGCGAGGGGAGUGAAACAGAACCUGAAACCGUGUACGUACAAGCAGUGGGAGCCUUGAUUUGUCAGGGUGACUGCGUACCUUUUGUAUAAUGGGUCAGCGACUUAUAUUCUGUAGCAAGGUUAACCGUAUAGGGGAGCCGUAGGGAAACCGAGUCUUAACUGGGCGUUAAGUUGCAGGGUAUAGACCCGAAACCCGGUGAUCUAGCCAUGGGCAGGUUGAAGGUUGGGUAACACUAACUGGAGGACCGAACCGACUAAUGUUGAAAAAUUAGCGGAUGACUUGUGGCUGGGGGUGAAAGGCCAAUCAAACCGGGAGAUAGCUGGUUCUCCCCGAAAGCUAUUUAGGUAGCGCCUCGUGAACUCAUCUUCGGGGGUAGAGCACUGUUUCGGCUAGGGGGUCAUCCCGACUUACCAACCCGAUGCAAACUACGAAUACCGAAGAAUGUUAUCACGGGAGACACACGGCGGGUGCUAACGUCCGUCGUGAAGAGGGAAACAACCCAGACCGCCAGCUAAGGUCCCAAAGUCAUGGUUAAGUGGGAAACGAUGUGGGAAGGCACAGACAGCCAGGAUGUUGGCUUAGAAGCAGCCAUCAUUUAAAGAAAGCGUAAUAGCUCACUGGUCGAGUCGGCCUGCGCGGAAGAUGUAACGGGGCUAAACCAUGCACCGAAGCUGCGGCAGCGACACUAUGUGUUGUUGGGUAGGGGAGCGUUCUGUAAGCCGUUGAAGGUGGCCUGUGAGGGUUGCUGGAGGUAUCAGAAGUGCGAAUGCUGACAUAAGUAACGAUAAAGCGGGUGAAAAGCCCGCUCGCCGGAAGACCAAGGGUUCCUGUCCAACGUUAAUCGGGGCAGGGUGAGUCGACCCCUAAGGCGAGGCCGAAAGGCGUAGUCGAUGGGAAACAGGUUAAUAUUCCUGUACUUGGUGUUACUGCGAAGGGGGGACGGAGAAGGCUAUGUUAGCCGGGCGACGGUUGUCCCGGUUUAAGCAUGUAGGCGGAUGUUCCAGGUAAAUCCGGAACGUUAUUCAACGCUGAGGUGUGAUGACGAGGCACUACGGUGCUGAAGUAACAAAUGCCCUGCUUCCAGGAAAAGCCUCUAAGCAUCAGGUAACAUUAAAUCGUACCCCAAACCGACACAGGUGGUCAGGUAGAGAAUACCAAGGCGCUUGAGAGAACUCGGGUGAAGGAACUAGGCAAAAUGGUGCCGUAACUUCGGGAGAAGGCACGCUGAUGGUAGGUGAAGUGACUUGCUCAUGGAGCUGAAAUCAGUCGAAGAUACCAGCUGGCUGCAACUGUUUAUUAAAAACACAGCACUGUGCAAACACGAAAGUGGACGUAUACGGUGUGACGCCUGCCCGGUGCCGGAAGGUUAAUUGAUGGGGUUAUCCUCGCGGAGAAGCUCUUGAUCGAAGCCCCCUAUAACGGUCCUAAGGUAGCGAAAUUCCUUGUCGGGUAAGUUCCGACCUGCACGAAUGGCGUAAUGAUGGCCAGGCUGUCUCCACCCGAGACUCAGUGAAAUUGAACUCGCUGUGAAGAUGCAGUGUACCCGCGGCAAGACGGAAAGACCCCGUGAACCUUUACUAUAGCUUGACACUGAACACUGGUCCUUGAUGUGUAGGAUAGGUGGGAGGCUUUGAAGUGUGGACGCCAGUCUGCGUGGAGCCAACCUUGAAAUACCACCCUUUAAUGUUUGAUGUUCUAACGUUGCCCCGUUAUCCGGGGUGCGGACAGUGUCUGGUGGGUAGUUUGACUGGGGCGGUCUCCUCCUAAAGAGUAACGGAGGAGCACGAAGGUU
rnacentral:rRNA from 1 species